GACGAACGCUGGCGGCGUGCUUAACACAUGCAAGUCGAACGGAAAGGCCCUGCUUUUGUGGGGUGCUCGAGUGGCGAACGGGGGAGUAACACGUGAGUAACCUGCCCUUGACUUUGGGAUAACUUCAGGAAACUGGGGCUAAUACCGGAUAGGAGCUCCUGCUGCAUGGUGGGGGUUGGAAAGUUUCGGCUGGUGGGGAUGGACGCGCGGCUUAUCAGCUUGUUGGUGGGGUAGGGGCUUACCAAGGCUUUGACGGGUAGCCGGCCUGAGAGCGUGACCGGGCACCUUGGGACUGAGAUACGGACCAGACUGCUACAUGAGGCAGCAGUGGGGAAUAUUGCACAAUGGGAGCACGCCUGAUGCAGCGACGCCGCGUGCGGGAUGACGGCCUUCGGGUUGUAAACCGCUUUCGCCUGUGACGCAGCGUGAGUGACGGUAAUGGGUAAAGAAGCACCGGCUAACUACGUG
rnacentral:rRNA from 1 species